rnacentral:tRNA from 1 species
AAAAAAAAGGGCCUGGUUAAAGGGUUUUUUUGAUAGGGUAAAUUAAGGAAUUUUUUACCUUUAUUA